rnacentral:rRNA from 1 species
CCUACGGGAGGCAGCAGUGGGGAAUUUUGGACAAUGGGCGCAAGCCUGAUCCAGCCAUGCCGCGUGAGUGAAGAAGGCCUUCGGGUUGUAAAGCUCUUUCGGCCGGGAAGAAAUCGCAUUGGUUAAUACCUGGUGUGGAUGACGGUACCGGAAUAAGAAGCACCGGCUAACUACGUGCCAGCAGCCGCGGUAAUACGUAGGGUGCGAGCGUUAAUCGGAAUUACUGGGCGUAAAGCGUGCGCAGGCGGUUUUGUAAGACAGGCGUGAAAUCCCCGGGCUCAACCUGGGAACUGCGCUUGUGACUGCAAGGCUAGAGUACGGCAGAGGGGGGUGGAAUUCCACGUGUAGCAGUGAAAUGCGUAGAGAUGUGGAGGAACACCAAUGGCGAAGGCAGCCCCCUGGGUCGAUACUGACGCUCAUGCACGAAAGCGUGGGUAGCAAACAGGAUUAGAUACCCUGGUAGUCCACGCCCUAAACGAUGUCAACUAGGUGUUGGGAGGGUAAAACCUUUUAGUACCGGAGCUAACGCGUGAAGUUGACCGCCUGGGGAGUACGGCCGCAAGGUUAAAACUCAAAGGAAUUGACGGGGACCCGCACAAGCGGUGGAUGAUGUGGAUUAAUUCGAUGCAACGCGAAAAACCUUACCUACCCUUGACAUGUCAGGAAGCCACGAGAGAUCGAGGUGUGCUCGAAAGAGAACCGUAACACAGGUGCUGCAUGGCUGUCGUCAGCUCGUGUCGUGAGAUGUUGGGUUAAGUCCCGCAACGAGCGCAACUCUUGUCAUUAGUUGCUACAUUUAGUUGGGCACUCUAAUGAGACUGCCGGUGACAAACCGGAGGAAGGUGGGGAUGACGUCAAGUCCUCAUGGCCCUUAUAGGUAGGGCUACACACGUCAUACAAUGGAUGGUACAAAGGGUCGCCAACCCGCGAGGGGGAGCCAAUCCCAUAAAGCCAUUCGUAGUCCGGAUCGCAGUCUGCAACUCGACUGCGUGAAGUCGGAAUCGCUAGUAAUCGUGGAUCAGCAUGUCACGGUGAAUACGUUCCCGGGCCUUGUACACA